rnacentral:rRNA from 1 species
GACGAACGCUGGCGGCGUGCUUAACACAUGCAAGUCGAACGGACAGGCCCUGCUUUUGUUGCGUGCUCGAGUGGCGAACGGGUGAGUAACACGUGAGUAACCUCCCCUUGUCUUUGGGAUAACUUCAGGAAACUGGGGCUCAUACCGGAUAUGAGCUACUGCUGCAUGGUGUUGGUUGGAAAGUGUCGGCGGUUCGGGAUGGACUAGCGGCUUAUCAGCUUGUUGGUGGGGUAGUGGCUUACCAGGGCUUUGACGGGUAGCCGGCCUGAGAGGGUGACCGGCCACAUGGGUACUGAGAUACGGACCAGACGCCUACGGGAGGCAGCAGUGGGGAAUAUUGCACAAUGGGCGGAAGCCUGAUGCAGCAACGCCGCGUGCGGGAUGACGGCCUUCGGGUUGUAAACCGCUUUGGCCUGUGACGAAGAGUGAGUGACGGUAAUGGGUAAAGAAGCACCGGCUAACUACGUG